rnacentral:rRNA from 1 species
AGUGAACGCUGGCGGUAGGCCUAACACAUGCAAGUCGAACGGCAGCACAGUAAGAGCUUGCUCUUACGGGUGGCGAGUGGCGGACGGGUGAGGAAUACAUCGGAAUCUACUUUUUCGUGGGGGUUAACGUAGGGAAACUUAAGCUAAUACCGCAUACGACCUUCGGGUGAAAGCAGGGGAACUUUGGACCUUGCGGGACUGAAUGAGCCGAUGUGGGGCUGGUUAGUUGGGGGGGGAAAGGCCCACCAAGUCGACGGUCCGUAGCUGGUCUGAGGGGAUGAUCAGCCACACUGGAAGUGAGACACGGUCCAGACUCCUACGGGAGGCAGCAGUGGGGAACAUUGGACAAUGGGCGCAAGCCUGAUCCAGCCAUACCGCGUGGGUGAAGAAGGCCUCCGGGUUGUAAAGCCCGUUUGUUGGGAAAGAAAAGCAGCAGGUUAAUACCCCGCUGUUCUGACGGUACCCAAAGAAUAAGCACCGGCUAACUUCGUG